rnacentral:rRNA from 1 species
AGGCAUUGGGGGCGUGCUAUACAUGCAAGUCGAGCGGACAGAUGGGAGCUUGCUCCCUGAUGUUAGCGGCGGACGGGUGAGUAACACGUGGGUAACCUGCCUGUAAGACUGGGAUAACUCCGGGAAACCGGGGCUAAUACCGGAUGCUUGAUUGAACCGCAUGGUUCAAUUAUAAAAGGUGGCUUUUAGCUACCACUUACAGAUGGACCCGCGGCGCAUUAGCUAGUUGGUGAGGUAACGGCUCACCAAGGCGACGAUGCGUAGCCGACCUGAGAGGGUGAUCGGCCACACUGGGACUGAGACACGGCCCAGACUCCUACGGGAGGCAGCAGUAGGGAAUCUUCCGCAAUGGACGAAAGUCUGACGGAGCAACGCCGCGUGAGUGAUGAAGGUUUUCGGAUCGUAAAACUCUGUUGUUAGGGAAGAACAAGUACCGUUCGAAUAGGGCGGUACCUUGACGGUACCUAACCAGAAAGCCACGGCUAACUACGUGCCAGCAGCCGCGGUAAUACGUAGGUGGCAAGCGUUGUCCGGAAUUAUUGGGCGUAAAGCGCGCGCAGGCGGUUUCUUAAGUCUGAUGUGAAAGCCCCCGGCUCAACCGGGGAGGGUCAUUGGAAACUGGGGAACUUGAGUGCAGAAGAGGAGAGUGGAAUUCCACGUGUAGCGGUGAAAUGCGUAGAGAUGUGGAGGAACACCAGUGGCGAAGGCGACUCUCUGGUCUGUAACUGACGCUGAGGCGCGAAAGCGUGGGGAGCGAACAGGAUUAGAUACCCUGGUAGUCCACGCCGUAAACGAUGAGUGCUAAGUGUUAGAGGGUUUCCGCCCUUUAGUGCUGCAGCAAACGCAUUAAGCACUCCGCCUGGGGAGUACGGUCGCAAGACUGAAACUCAAAGGAAUUGACGGGGGCCCGCACAAGCGGUGGAGCAUGUGGUUUAAUUCGAAGCAACGCGAAGAACCUUACCAGGUCUUGACAUCCUCUGACAACCCUAGAGAUAGGGCUUCCCCUUCGGGGGCAGAGUGACAGGUGGUGCAUGGUUGUCGUCAGCUCGUGUCGUGAGAUGUUGGGUUAAGUCCCGCAACGAGCGCAACCCUUGAUCUUAGUUGCCAGCAUUCAGUUGGGCACUCUAAGGUGACUGCCGGUGACAAACCGGAGGAAGGUGGGGAUGACGUCAAAUCAUCAUGCCCCUUAUGACCUGGGCUACACACGUGCUACAAUGGGCAGAACAAAGGGCAGCGAAGCCGCGAGGCUAAGCCAAUCCCACAAAUCUGUUCUCAGUUCGGAUCGCAGUCUGCAACUCGACUGCGUG